UUUCCGUAGGUGAACCUGCGGAAGGAUCAUUAAUGGGAAAUCAAAUCAAAACAAAUGUUCUGUUGCACUGGGUGUGCUGUGUGGUGGUGGUGUGAGACAUGGAGAUUCAAUCAUGGAGAUUCAAUCAUUGGAGAUUCAAUCAUUGGAGAUUCAAUCAUUGGAGAUUCAAUCAUUCAAUCUCAAUCAUCGCCACACAACACAACUAUCUAUCACACUCGAUCAGCAACAACACACUCACACACAACAGCAAACAACUUUUAACAAUGGAUCUCUUGGCUCUU
rnacentral:misc_RNA from 1 species